rnacentral:rRNA from 1 species
CAAUAGCGUAUAUUAAAGUUGUUGCAGUUAAAAAGCUCGUAGUUGGAUUUCUGGUUGGAGCGACCGGUCGGGCAUUGAUUUGUCUGCACUGGAGUCGGUUCUGGCCAUCCUCUUGGAAAGUGCGUCUGUCAUUAAGUUGUCGGGCGUAUGAUCCAGGUCUUUUACUGUGAAAAAAUUAGAGUGUUUAAAGCAGGCCUUCGCCUUGAAUACAUUAGCAUGGAAUAAUAAGAUAGGACUUUGGUCUAUUUUGUUGGUUUGCAGACCGAAGUAAUGAUUAAUAGGGAUAGUUGGGGGUAUUUAUAUUCCAAUGUCAGAGGUGAAAUUCUUAGAUUUUUGGAAGAUAAACUUAUGCGAAAGCAUUUACCAAGGAUGUUUUCAUUAG